rnacentral:rRNA from 1 species
GACGAACGCUGGCGGCGUGCUUAACACAUGCAAGUCGAACGGAAAGGCCCUGCUUGCAGGGUACUCGAGUGGCGAACGGGUGAGUAACACGUGGGUGAUCUGCCCUGCACUUCGGGAUAAGCUUGGGGAACUGGGUCUAAUACCGGAGAGGAGCCAUCUUUAGUGUGGUGGUUGGAAAGAGUUUUUGGUGUAGGAUGAGCUCGCGGCCUAUCAGCUUGUUUGUGGGGUAAUGGCCUACCAAGGCGGCGACGGGUAGCCGGCCUGGGAGGGUGGACGGCCACCUUGGGACUGGGAUACGGGCCAGGCUCCUUCGGGGGGCAGGAGUGGGGAAUAUUGCACAAUGGGCGCAAGGCUGAUGCAGCGGCGCCGCGUGGGGGGUGAAGGCCUUCGGGUUGUAAACUCCUUUCGCUAGGGACGAAGCUUUUUUGGGGCGGUACCUAGAUAAGAAGCACCGGCUAACUACGUG